AGAGUUUGAUCAUGGCUCAGAUUGAACGCUGGCGGCGUGCUUAACACAUGCAAGUCGAACGCGAAAGGGACUUCGGUCCUGAGUAAAGUGGCGCACGGGUGAGUAACGCGUGGAUAAUCUGCCCUUAUGAUUGGAAUAACAGUUGGAAACGGCUGCUAAUACCGGAUACGCUCAAAAUGAACUUUUUGAGGAAAGAUGGCCUCUGCUUGCAUGCUAUCGCAUAAGGAUGAGUCCGCGUCCCAUUAGCUUGUUGGCGGGGUAACGGCCCACCAAGGCAACGAUGGGUAGCCGAUUUGAGAGGAUGAUCGGCCACACUGGAACUGAAACACGGUCCAGACUCCUACGGGAGGCAGCAGUGGGGAAUAUUGCGCAAUGGGCGAAAGCCUGACGCAGCGACGCCGCGUGAGGGANGNAGGUUUUCGGAUCGUAAACCUCUGUCAGAAGGGAAGAAACUACGUUGUGCUAAUCAGCAGCGUACUGACGGUACCUUCAAAGGAAGCGGGGCUCCAAGGAAGU
rnacentral:rRNA from 1 species